GACGAACGCUGGCGGCGUGCUUAACACAUGCAAGUCGAGCGGAAAGGCCACUUCGGUGGUACUCGAGCGGCGAACGGGUGAGUAACACGUGAGUAAUCUGCCCCUGGCUUUGGGAUAGCCACCGGAAACGGUGAUUAAUACCGGAUAUGACCACUUCACGCAUGUGAUGGUGGUGGAAAGUUUUUCGGCCAGGGAUGUGCUCGCGGCCUAUCAGCUUGAUGGUGAGGUAAUGGCUCACCAUGGCUUCGACGGGUAGCCGGCCUGAGAGGGUGACCGGUCACACUGGGACUGAGACACGGCCCAGACUCCUACGGGAGGCAGCAGUGGGGAAUAUUGGACAAUGGGCGGAAGCCUGAUCCAGCAACGCCGCGUGAGGGAUGACGGCCUUCGGGUUGUAGACCUCUUUCAGUACCGACGAAGCGCAAGUGACGGUAGGUACAGAAGAAGCACCGGCCAACUACGUGCCAGCAGCCGCAGUAACAC
rnacentral:rRNA from 1 species